GGCGGGGUGCUUACCAUGCAGUCGAACGGUGAAGAGAGAGCUUGCUUUCUUGGAUCAGUGGCGAACGGGUGAGUAACACGUGAGUAACCUGCCCCAGACUCUGGGAUAAGCACUGGAAACGGUGUCUAAUACCGGAUACGAGCUUCAGCCGCAUGGCUAGGAGUUGGAAAGAAUUUCGGUCUGGGAUGGACUCGCGGCCUAUCAGCUAGUUGGUGAGGUAAUGGCUCACCAAGGCGACGACGGGUAGCCGGCCUGAGAGGGUGACCGGCCACACUGGGACUGAGACACGGCCCAAACUCCUACGGGAGGCAGCAGUGGGGAAUAUUGCACAAUGGGCGCAAGCCUGAUGCAGCAACGCCGCGUGAGGGACGACGGCCUUCGGGUUGUAAACCUCUUUUAGUAGGGAAGAAGCGAAAGUGACGGUACCUGCAGAAAAAGCACCGGCUAACUACGUGCCAGCAGCCGCGGUAAUACGUAGGGUGCAAGCGUUAUCCGGAAUUAUUGGGCGUAAAGAGCUCGUAGGCGGUUUGUCGCGUCUGCUGUGAAAACUGGAGGCUCAACCUCCAGCCUGCAGUGGGUACGGGCAGACUAGAGUGCGGUAGGGGAGAUUGAAAUUCCUGGUGUAGCGGUGGAAUGCGCAGAUAUCAGAGGAACACCGAU
rnacentral:rRNA from 1 species